CCCGGCGGGGGAAGGUCUGGCCUCCUUGGGUGACAUCCGGGGCUUUGAGGGGGGCGGUGUUUCUGAGGCCUUUCUGGGCAGGGGUGUUUAUGGCGGCGUCGCCGCUGUCCGACCUGGCUGCUAGGCUUUCCCAGUCGGCGGCCGCCCGCUCUUACGGCGUCUUCUGCAAGGGCCUGACUCGCACCCUCCUCAUCUUCUUCGACUUGGCCUGGAAACUCCGCAUCAAUUUCCCUUAUUUGUACAUUGUCGCCUCCAUGAUGCUCAACGUCAGGCUGCAGGUUCAUAUUGAGAUCCACUAAUUCGUGACUUAUGCUGCUGCUCGAAGGCAUCCCAACGUGCCCUGCAGUUUUGUACGAUGCAGAGUUUACAGGAGAGGCACGGCUUGCAGAUCUCUUGCAUGAAUUUGGAGAAGGAAGAUGACUUGGGACCUGCACAAGGACACAGAAAUUCCACGAGUCAGCAAAACGAGAUUCUUCAUCUUCCGAGGAUCCAUUCCUUAGUGAACAGUGCCCAGGAGGGAAACGGUAACAUACAACAGGAGUUGUUUUCUCUGAAGAUCAGGAACUGUACUGUUUUUAAAGCCGUGCCACUGCCUCACAUUGGGAACAAAAUGGCACCUUGUUUGAGUGAUUCGGGCAGCAGAGCCGGGCACGCCAAGCAAUUUCUGGGCUUGCUCUUCUCUCCGGAGAAGGAUGUGUUUGAGAAGAUUUUUAGCCACUUUGAUAGCAGCGCGGCAGCUGGCUGGCAGAGGAAAGCGCACGGUUUUAUGAGUGACUUGGGUGCGUGGAGCUGCUCCGGGGAUACUUUUGUUCAGUUUGCACACUUCUGGCUGUCUGAGCUCCAGCAUCAUCAGAAGCUGCAGUUGUUGGAACUGGAGAUGGGGAUUAUUGAGGACAAACUCCGUCUCGCGCUCCUCCAGGGAUCGGACUCCAGGGAGGCCCAGCCUCUCGAUUUUAAUGUCAUCCUGGCGGCAGUGCUGAGCGAAUAUCCGUCGGGACUGGUCAGCGGCCAGAGUUCAUAUGUUUUCCUUGACUACUUAAACUUCAUGUCUUCAGAUCAAAUGCCUGGCUAUAAGAAAAUGCUUUCGAGUAUACAGUACCCGUCCAAGAACCCUCAGAUAGCUCAGUGGUUGCUAGCUAUUCGAGCAUUUGUUCUUGCAAAUCUCUGGCAUGCAGUAGUGAAGGUAAAGCCACAAUAGUUCUGACACGCUUCCGCUCGUUGUUUGGAUAGUCCCUGUAAAGUACGUUAAGGCACAGCAGGUACCAUGAAAGGAAAUUUCAGUAGGUAUUUUAGCAUACUGGCUGGGGCAACCAAAUGCUGUUUAGACUGCGUUCAGGUGUCACUUGUCACCUGUGUUCAGCUGAGGUGCACAGAUCUGUCCUGUUCUUUGAGGUGGAUGCUCUUCUUCUCGCCCCUUCUCAUGUGUGGAGAAUCUUGAGGAGAAACUAAUUCUGGUAGCCCAUGAUGCAGGAAUGCAGGUGUAGAAUCCUGAGCCGGCCCAUGUUCACCUGCUCAUCUGUCUCACAUUUGUACAGUGCACAUUCUAUAAGGCAUUGGUCAAUACCCAGAUUUCUUCCGAGCAACCUGCCAAGAGUUCUGUUUCCAGCGCUAAAAGGCAAUCCUAUGGCAUGGUUAAAGAAAGGUAAGAGAACUUACAUCUUGAGAGAGAGAGAGAAAAAUAGCCUUCAGUUGUCUGUAUUUUGCUGCAUAUUGUGUUUAAUUAGAACUGAUUCAAAGACUGCAGUGCUUUUAUUGUAAACAGUUCCUGUAACAAACACCAACUUAAAAAAAAAACCCUGAAGAAAACGAUUUCCCAAGCUGUGUGAAUGUCACCAAAACAUGUGCAAGAGUGACGUUCUUAGUGGACAAUGACCAUCAACUUUAAUGUCUGCCAGAGCUUUUAUAUAACCUUGAAUAUGUGCCUCUAGUAAUUUGUAUAUGUAAUGCCAAAACCCACAGAAUAAUAGCGAUGAUGCUCUUCUUAUGGUUUAGUUGGUCUGUAGGUUUUUUCCGUUUAAAUCACAUGAGGCUUUAUAUUGGGUCAGUUGCCCUCUUGGAAUCAUAGCGAAGACUUGCAGAGCUUAAAUAUUUUCAGCGCAAGGUAGAAAGGGCACGGGAUUAUCUCAGUAUCCUGUAGCAUCGUAAGGUAACAUUCCUCAGGCAUCGCUUUGUUGACUUCAGUGAUACUUGUUUUCAGUAUCCAUGUCCAGAGGGACCUGCUAUCUUUUAAACACUUAACAUUUUAAGAGGUUCUCUGUGAAAGAACACUGAACCUGUUUGCGGGAAGAUUCUGUAAUGCUGUUUCCACCCACCACUGUGGAGUUACUGCGAAAAGUAGUAGGCUGUGAGAACCCUCCAUAUUCCUAUCCAUUCCUCCAUCUAUGUGGACAUAAGGGCAUGUAGAGUUCUCGUUUGCUGCAGCCACUGUUGCUCUAUCUUUAAUAUAACUGUUGUGGUAAUGUUAGUGCUGCUGUUGAACACUGUGAGGUUCCUCUGUGGAGGUCAUGCUCGCGCUCAGCCAGGUAAAUCCCAAACAUGGUCCCAUUUAAAAAGAAAAGGGAGUUCAUGUCUGGUGUCUGGGGAGCUACCGAAUUUCCUGCAACUCAUCUCAACUUUUUUAAAACCGAAGAAGAAAAGUUUUGUUUACGUUUUGUACAACGGUAUGGAUUUGUCGAGACUGCUGCUGGGAUUACCUCCUUCAGCCACAGGAGGGAGUGAGCAGUCAACUGUUUGUAUCCCAGUGCUGGGAUUUUUUUUCUCUUUAGUACGCCUUUUCAGGAUUGGAAGACUGUCUGUCAACAUGCUGAAUUAAGCAACAAAACAUUUUCUCACCGUUGUAAUAACAGUCGGUGUUGUGUGUCCAAAUGAAGGCAAAACACUUGUUGUGACGGUUUAACACUUGAGUACGAAAUGCUGCUGGAUGCUGGUACGAAAUUGUGUUUCAAAGGAGAAAUAAAAGUUUGUUGUAAACCUUGA